UUCUAGGAUAUUGUCUGCUUUUCCACCCCGACUCCAUUCCUUUCCACAAGCCACCCGUCAGCAGCACCCAAGGGAAAGGAACACAAGACCUGCUUCUCGGGGCUCUGAGGGCUUGGAAAAGUCCCUCAACCUCCAUCAGCAUCUUCUGUGGAAACGAGGACGUCACUAUGGAGAGUGGCUGGCAUAAACAGCGCUCAGUAACGUCUGGGGAGAUGGAAUUCACUUCUCCUUCCUUCUAAGAAACAGAGCCUCCAUUUCCUCAUUUAUAAAAUAAGGGAAAUGGUACCUACAGCCCUGGGCUGUGAUGGGAUUGCUCCGCCACACCCGCGUCUGGCACAUGGCCACCACGGCAAGGAGCAGUCGCAGCCUCAGAAGUGAAAUGAAUCCACACACCAACAAGGUAAAAGGGGAAGCCCAUGUGCUCCUCUCGGCCGCUGCAGGAAAAGCCUCUGACGGAAUCAAACACCCAUUCAUGACAAACCUCGGCGAACCCGCAGCAGAAGGGAACCUGCAGGGACAGCCACCUAGCCUGCGGCUAACACACACCCGAGGAGCAGACUGGUGGGGAGCCAGGCGGGGACACCCCUCUCUAUACACCCGGGGUUUCUGCUAUAGGCUCCAGGAGGGAGACCUUAGGGAAGGAAAGCUCGUGGGAAAGACACUCUGGGUGUCUUCCACGGAGGUGGCACAGCUGUCAUCAGGACGCUGCUUUAGAAAGUGAAGGGGGCUGCAGCCCAUUAGAGCCGGGGACAAGUAAAGGUCGUCGGGCUUAUUUCGUGAUUAAGGUUCUGCCUUAAGCUGACAAACCCCCGCGUGUUGGAACUGAAGCUGUCGGAUACCCAGGGGCACCCCGAGCCUAGCUCUCUGGUCCCACAGAUGAGGAAACGGAGGCUCCAGAAGGAGGAGACCACUGGCCUUGCCCAGGAUAACACGCCGCUUUCUACUGAAGACCAGAAGGAGGCGAGUGUUUUAAAAAUGGAACAAACACAAAGAAGUGGUAUAUAAUCUAAAGCUGUCAUUUAUACACAUAACCAGUAAACGGACCCACCUGCAAGGUCACCAAGUAGCCUGCCAGGAUCGGCACCAGGUAGCGCAGAGCCCACGUCCACCCCAGCAGCGCUGUGGCUCCGCCCUACACUGACCACUCACUCAGUGGGUGGAGGGAGCCACAGCUGGCCACAGGACCCCGCGGAGCCAGAGGAGACCCAGAGCAACACCUUCAGAACAAGUGCAAGAUGUGAAGGGACGGCUACGUCUCACCGGCCUUUCUCAAAACAACUGUUCUGCCAACCAAAGGAAGAAACCUGAGGCCCUGCUGACCGCAAGGUCCUCCACCUGACCAGCAGUGGUCCCAGGCCAGCCCUCCCACCAGAGAGCUGAGAGACCCAGCGGGCGCCUUCUAGACCCCGAUGCACUUCAUAAAGGAGAAACCCCUCUUCCAGCCUCCAGAGUCGGGGGCCCCCUUCAAACUUCUCCAUUUCACUUACUUUUAAAAAGCAAAAGUCUGAAAGCAACAUUAAUCAUCAAACAUGUACAAACAAGGACUUCCUACCCUUUUCUAAAGCUUCCACCCACUCAAGCCCGAGGCGGGGGUUUUCCUGGAUUCCCACCCGUUCCUCAGUCCCCACGGCCAAAAGGUCAGGCUUGUUCCUCUGCUGGUCUUUCCAAGCCGUCCCUGCUGACCCUGCCUGGCCUCUGCCUUGUCCGCCUGCCCAUCUCCCCACCCUAACCCUGCGCCAUCUCUGGGGGAUCCUUCUCAUACUGGGACCUUGCCCUGUCCCUGUCCCCGUGGCUCUGAAGGCCCCCUCAGCUCCAACAGGAUGAAGUCUGAGCUCCUCUGCUUAGGAGAACAUGAAUCAAGAAGUCAAUCAGAAGCAGCCAACGCCCUCUGAGAAAAUAAACCGUUUCUCUGACACAGGAAAAGACAAAGGAAAACAAGGAAAAAAUUAAUUUUUAACUGUGAUAGAAAUAAACUUAGUUCCAAAUUCUAAAGGCAGGAUAAUAUUACAAAAAGAAAAGGUGAAAUACAUUGUGUGUCUCCCAUACGCGCGCACACACACACACACAGAGUACACAUACACACAAAGAACACAAAUAUGUGCACAACAAUGGGGCAAGAGUUUGUUUUUUAAUUUUUACCCAUCUAAAUUCCAUUUAGCUCUCUAGUAAAAGACCUUCUUUUUUAAGUGUGUGUGGUGCUAGGGUUUGAACCCAGGACCUUGUGCAUGCAAGGCAAGCACCCUACCAACUGAGCUAUAUCCCCAGCCCUGUAAAAAGUCUUCUUAAUAAACACUGAAUUAAGAAUUUUUAUGAAGUAAA